AUUGAACGCUGGCGGCAUGCCUUACACAUGCAAGUCGAACGGUAACAGGUCUUCGGAUGCUGACGAGUGGCGAACGGGUGAGUAAUACAUCGGAACGUGCCCGAUCGUGGGGGAUAACGCAGCGAAAGCUGUGCUAACACCGCAUACGAUCUACGGAUGAAAGCGGGGGAUCGCAAGACCUCGCGCGGACGGAGCGGCCGAUGGCAGAUUAGGUAGUUGGUGGGAUAAAAGCUUACCAAGCCGACGAUCUGUAGCUGGUCUGAGAGGACGACCAGCCACACUGGGACUGAGACACGGCCCAGACUCCUACGGGAGGCAGCAGUGGGGAAUUUUGGACAAUGGGGGAAACCCUGAUCCAGCCAUGCCGCGUGCAGGAUGAAGGCC
rnacentral:rRNA from 1 species